rnacentral:rRNA from 1 species
UACGGAGGGUGCAAACGUUGCUCGGAAUCAUUGGGCGUAAAGCGCACGUAGGCGGUCUGAUAAGUCGGAUGUGAAAGCCCUGGGCUCAACCCAGGAAGAGCAUUCGAAACUGGCAGGCUCGAGUAUGGAAGAGGGUCGCGGAAUUCCCGGUGUAGAGGUGAAAUUCGUAGAUAUCGGGAGGAACACCAGUGGCGAAGGCGGCGACCUGGGCCAAUA